GGCUCAGGAUGAACGCUAGCUACAGGCUUAACACAUGCAAGUCGAGGGGAAACGAUAGAGAAAGCUUGCUUUUCUAGGCGUCGACCGGCGCACGGGUGAGUAACGCGUAUCCAACCUGCCCAUCACUUGGGGAUAACCUUGCGAAAGUAAGACUAAUACCCAAUGAUAUCUCUAGAAGACAUCUGAAAGAGAUUAAAGAUUUAUCGGUGAUGGAUGGGGAUGCGUCUGAUUAGCUUGUUGGCGGGUAACGGCCCACCAAGGCGACGAUCAGUAGGGGUUCUGAGAGGAAGGUCCCCCACAUUGGAACUGAGACACGGUCCAAACUCCUACGGGAGGCAGCAGUGAGGAAUAUUGGUCAAUGGACGAGAGUCUGAACCAGCCAAGUAGCGUGCAGGAUGACGGCCCUAUGGGUUGUAAACUGCUUUUAUAAGGGAAUAAAGUGAGUCUCGUGAGACUUUUUGCAUGUACCUUAUGAAUAAGGACCGGCUAAUUCCGUG
rnacentral:rRNA from 1 species